rnacentral:lncRNA from 1 species
UCUCUGCCUACAGUGCUGAAGUCACAGCCAUACAGCCAUGUCUGGAGUGUAUGUGAGUGCUGUGGAUUUGAAAUCAGUUCCUCAUCCUUGCGGAGAAAGUGUUCUAACCCACCGAGCCAUCAUCCUAGUUCCUCCAAAUUCAUGUAUUAAUUUAUGGUUAUUAAGUUCUUUAACGACUGUGUGUGGUCAUACGUAUCUGUAAUCCCAGCAUUGGGAAGAGUGAGGGAGGGAGAUCUUGAAUUCAAGGCUUGUCUGGGCUACAUAGUAAGAAACAAAUAAAUAAAUGAGUUCUUCUUUCAGAUCAUAGGGACUUUCCAAGAAAUAGCCCCAUUUUCUUGAGAGAAAAAUUCUCAUAUUACAUGUUCUAUUAAUGUUUAAUUCAUAGACAGUGGUGAAUUUUUUUUUUAUUUUUUAAAAUUUUUUUUUGGUUUUUCCAGACAGGGUUUCUCUGUGUAGUCCUGGCUGUCCUGAAACUCACUCUGUAGUCCAGGCUGGCCUCGAACUUAAAAAUCCGCCUGCCUCUGCCUCCCAAGUGCUGGGAUUAAAGGCGUGUGCCACCACUGCCCGGCAGUGGUGAACAAUUUAUUUUAUGUUAUUUUAGUACAGUUCUAAUUUCUUUCACUGGUUUAUUACUACCUUAUCUUCAGAGAAUUAUAGUAUUUUUCACUGACUUAAAUUGUAUAUCUAUAAUCUCUUCUACAGUCAUUGGGCUAGAGUAAUUUAGAAUUAAAAAGUGAAUUUGGAAAACUGAUAUAUACAACGUAUAUACAGGUGGUAUAAAAUUCCAACUGACAUUAAGAGAAAUCAUGAGGAAUCAGUCAUGUUAAUAUUUCUGCAAUCAAGCCAAGUGCUCUAAAGACUAUAAAUAACUGCAUUAGUGUAGGUCAGAGACUAAUGUGAGAGAAGGUAUCAACAAAGCUUAGGUGUUGAGAGUUCUGUGGACUUACAUCACAGAUUUGUAAAUAGGGAUUUAUAUAACUUUCCAGCAUGAGCAAUUUGAACUAUACAAGAAUUGCCUCAAUCUUUUUCAGUUUGUAAAACUGAGCGGUCAUAUUUGUUGUUGUUGAGACAGAGUCUUACACUGUAUUUCAAGCUGAACUGAAACUCACUAUAUAGCCCCGGGUGGCUUAAAAUCUGUGAUCAUCCUCCUGUCAUGGACUUCUGAGUGGUGGUAUUAUACGCAUAAGCUACCAUACCCAGCUUUUGAGUACUCACAAUAUUAAAACAAAUGCACAAUAAUGUCCUAUAACGUUAGGUAAAAGAAAUUGCUGUCAUUAUUGAGGAGAAGAAAAGGAACUCACAUGACUAAGAAGUAGGCUUACUGAGAUUCCUGAAGUUCAAGGCAGUGGUUUCUGAUUCUUUGUUUUCAUUAGGAAGAAGGAUGAGGUAAGUUGGAGCAGAGGGUUUUAUGUAAUAGUUCUUUACAGUUGCUCUCCUCGGUAGCAAAGUGAUUUGAUCAUCUUUAAGUAGGUUAACCACAAAAAAGCAUCAACUAAUGUCUUGAGUUAAUCCAGAAAAAAAUUAGCCAUUUGCUCUCUUAUUCUACUUUAUUGAAAACACUUUCAGGUAACCAGAGAUGUUUGGUCUUGUUAGCUAGAAGAGGAGUUUGAAAUGUGCUGAAGGCACUACUGAAAUUGCCUCACUGGUUUUUGGCAGAGGGAAAAUUGCUCUCUGAUGUUUGUGAAAAAAAAAACAAAAAACAAAAAUUAAAAAAAAAACAACCCACCUUUCUUCCCAAAGGCUACCAAGUACUGCUGAAGUGCAGUGGUAGAGAACUUUACAUAGUUAAUGUGGUUUGUCUUCUAGUGAGGCAAUCUUGAAGAAGUACAUGAAGGAAAGUAGGAAGAAAACAGCAAAUGUCAAUGAGUAUAGAAUAAGAGAACAAUACUUAAACCCUUGCAGGUCUAACAAAUCCUCAUUUGUUAAAUUGGCGUAUUUUAUUUGUACAGAUGUUUUGCCUACAUGUAUGUGUGUGCACCACAUGUGUGUCCCGUACUGUGGAAGCCAGAAAAGGGCUUUAGAUCACCUGGAACUGGAGUUAGGGAUGGUUGUGAUUCAUGUGAUGCUAGGACUCAAACCCACAUUGAUUCUCUGCAAGAGUAACAGAUGCUUUUUACUGCUGAGCCAUCUCUGCAGUCUCUGUUUCCUAGAUUAUUAUCUUUCUUAUUUCUGCUGUACAGACAUUUUAAGUUUUCUACUUUUUCUUAUCAGAUUACUCUAAUUUUUCAUUUGCUUCUAAGGUUCUAUUAGACUUCUAUACAUUAAUAAUUACCUUCAAUAUUGUUCGAGUUCUGGUCUCAUGUAUGCAUUUCUGAGACUAAGGGUUUGAUAAUACUUAAGUAUAUAGAGUAGGAUUGUGGACAAUUUACAGAAGAAAUAUCUAACAAAAAACAAAAC